CCAAGCAGCUUUGAACCUAAUACAAGUUUCUGUGUAUUCAUUUGGGCCUAACUCAGGUGGGCGGCUGGCAUAAAUCUCACUCGUGGCAGUGGGGCUCAGGCGGCUUUUGGCAGAAAGAUUUAUCGCAACAGGUGGCCCAGGUGGUUAUUACAGAACAGAGUGAAGAGUACGCACAUCCACUCCCCACUGAGUUCAGGAAGAAGGGCACACUAACUUGGCUAUCUCUCCUCCCUCCAAAAAUUUCAUUCUUUAGAAGGUUAGAAAUAAAUUCAAAGAACAUCUUUCAGGAACAAACUAGAACCCCAGAGGUGGACUAUGAGCCAGAAAGUCUUCUAACCCAAAACGUUGCUUUCCUCUGAUGAAGACAUUCUAACCAUAGCAGAAAACAUACCUGGAUGGUGGAAGAAUACAUGCUGAAAUAAUUAUUUAUUAAUAUGCAAGAACCUUUUAAUUACAUCUGAACUGCUUUUGCCAUUUGUUAACACUAAGAGUGUUAAGCAGUUUCAUUGCUAACUAAACAAAACUGAAUUAAUAAAAUUUAUGAUUGUGAUUUGUUGAGUUCUUUGAAUUUGUUUUUCCAGCAAAUUUGGUGAGGACUUUUAUCAGUGUUUCUAUUAACAAAAAUCUUUUUCACCUAAUAUCUUUAUUUUUGUGUGGGAGGGACUCUAAAUAUAUAUUCUUGGAGUUUUGGUGCUUAUUUUUAUAUUAUUAAUUUUGAUAGUGAUAUAUACUCUGGUUUUAUGUUUUCAAUAUUUUCUGCUAGAUUAUUCCUUUUCAUUUUUAUUUUAUAAUAUCUUUUGUUGUAUAUAUUUUAUUUUGAUGUAGAUAAUUUUACCAACCUUCUUUAAAGUUUUGUACAGAUAUACAAAUCAUAGUUCAACCAAGAAGUGCAUGAGUGUGUGCGUGCGUGCGUGUGUGUGUGUGUGUGUGUGUGUGUGUGUGUGUGUGUGUGUGUGUAGCUAGAGAGUUUGGAUUAUCACGGAGAAUUUGGCUUACAUAAUUAUGGGGUCUAGCUGAGGCAGGUAAUCAGAAAGGAAAGGAAAUAAGUAGGUUACAACCCCAGAUUUAUGGCCUCUGAACUCAGGGAAACCUGAGUACUCUUAUAAAUGUCUCAGACAGGAUAAUCUCCCUUUUGCUUAAUUUGGAGAAACAGCAAUGAUUAGAGACUUCAAUGACAUCUAUAAAAUCCCAUCCUAGUAACUUCUGAGUCUGUGUUGAUUGACUAACUGGGACUGCUAUCAACCCAGCCAGCUUGACACAUUAGAACCCCAUCACACCUGGAUCAACAUAAAAUAGCACUUUUCUUUCUUCUGAAACUCUUUAAAAUAACUACCAUAGUUUAUACUAAAAUAUUUAACAGUGGUGAACUUUUUGAUUCAUGUAGAUGUUAUACAUAAGACAACUAUGAGAUAAAAGUGGGGGUGUGGUAAAAAAAAUCAUUGAGUUGAAAUGAGUGGUGCUAUUUAUUACGUCUUACGCUAUGAAAGUAGGAUAGAGAGAUGACUGAUGAUACAUCACUUAAGAGACAAUAAUAUGUAGCUUUAAUGCAACACAAACUGAAGCCAACUAUUAAACAUAUUAAAGUACCCCAAAAUAAGACCAGAGGAACAAAAUUAGUAAAAAUAAAUAAAUAAAAUGCAUACAUUCAAUGAUAUUGAUCCAAUAACUCACUAACUCUACUCCUAGUUGUCUACCUAAGGAAACUCACUGGCUUACACAUGAAUCAUAUAAAGGGAGAUUCGAAGUAGCAUCCUUUAAAACAGACAAUACUAUGGCAAAUUAAACAUACAUCGAGUACAGAGCAGAUGUUGAAAACAGAUUUGUUGCUGCCUUCACCUUCUUUAAGCCCCCGCCCUUCCCUCCCAGGAACUGGUGACUCUUUCUCUUACAGGCCUUCGCCCUCCUCUCAGUCCUCCCUCUCCACUAUCAUCUCUAGCUCCUUCCUGGAAAGCCAGAGUCUUCAUUUGUUGUUGGUUGUCCAAGAAGGAGGAAGAGAACAUGGAGGGGAAUCAAAGAUUCUGUCCCAGAGGAAGCUGGGAAGAUACAAAGGAAACUUCAGUAAGACAAGAUGAGUACCAGAGGCAAGCUCCAUUGUCUUGCCAGUUUGGAUGCAUUUACGUCACUUACAAGGUGAUUUUCUAUGCACUUGACACAUUUGAUCACAUUUUAACUUGACCACUCCAUGGAGAUGGGUGUCUUUAUUAGUCCCACACUGUGGAUGAGGAAGCUGAGAUGCAAGAAGUUGAAGAACACACCUCGCAUGCACUCAGCAAAUGCAGGGUACUGUCUCCAACUCAGAGUGUCUGUUCCCUGACUCUGCUUUUUUGCCACUCCCCAGUAUCCGUUACAUGACAGACAUGAGCUUUGAAAAACGAUCUGGCGUGAUCUCAAGACCCAUCUACUUGAUAGAUGAGAAAAUUAAAUCUGUGAGAAGUGAAGUAACUUCUAAAGAUGGCACAAAUGGUGAGCAAAGCAGUGAGAGCCUGCAGCUGCUCUGCCCCUGUGCACAUCUGUCCUCCCCAGGUCAAAUGACUGCUUGGGUGUGGGGGCCCCAGGAUGAUGAUCACACAUAGCAGAGUGGUCACACUCAGCAACCAGGGGCACAGUGCAGUUGAUGGCACCGGGAUACCCAGCUACAGUGCUCCCACCAGCUGCUGCUGGUGGGAAUUCUUCUACUGGUGACUCCAGCUUUCCCUGCAACCAUCUUGCCAUCUGCAGUUAACCGGGCAUUGACCGGCCCUCCAUCAUUAACCUCUAUGAGUGUUAACUAUCAAUGAGUGAAUGCUCCAGGAAAAUGAAAACACCCAUGUGAAACAGUUUUAGGGCAGGAACCUGAGAAUCAUGGAUCCUAAACAUGGACCUAUAAGAUGGAUUCCGAGCAUAGAAGAGAAAGCAAGAAAUGAUCCAUUCACUCAUGCCUAGUUAUCCCUAGAACUUGCCUAGGACCUUCCUUCUUCUGACUUGUUCCCUGUGAAACAUCUCAAGGCUCAAAUCCUGCGCAUCCUUGUAGCUAUGAGUGUCAAAGUGUCAAGGCUCAAGAUCUAGUUCAGAUCUUAUAUUUUCUAGAGCAGGAAACUCAGACUCCAUUGGUUACCCACUUGAACAUUAUAACAAAAAUAAAAUUCAGAGACCAGGGUCCUGAGAGAACCAAGAGCCUUGACCAGAAAAAAAAAAAGAACAUCCUGUACCCAAUCCUCCAACCUCUCUGCUUCCUCUUAUUAUUUAGUUUAUUGAAUCACAUAUACUCAAUAGCCACCAGUAAUGUCUAGCUACUGUAAUUUCCAUGACUAGCAUAAUGGCCGAGUAACCCCUAUUUAUUUGCAGAAGGACAUGGGGGUGCAUAUCUCAAUAAAAAAUCUCAGUCAAAUCUUCUUGAAGCAGUCACUAUGGGCUCACAAGUGUUCAACACACAGGGAAAGAAUGGCUGUGGUUAUCUCUCCUGGGUCUCUGAGAAAUGUGGGUCAUUUACAAAGAAAAGAUUCCACAUGUCAAUUUCACAAAACAGAAUUUUAAAAUAGAUGACAAUUAAAGAAGACAAGUCCUGCCUUAGAAGAGGCUACUUUCUCAGACCAGAAUAAUAAAUCCCCGACUCCUUAGCAAGGCAUCCAAAGCUGACUCUGGGGAUGAUCAAAAUGCUCUGGAAUUGUGGAGUCAUGCUGGUGGUACAACAUUAGAAUUUUUGGCUGCUGGAUGUUCAGAAACCUCAUCCUGCUGUCAAAGUAUCCCACAAUCCCCACAUUUGGCCAUGUGAUCUGAAAUGGAGUCAUGACCCACAGUUUUAAGGAGCCACGGAUUACAGAUACUACCAUUCUGCUCUGCUCACUCUCACUAUCAAAGGUCACACCUACUGACCUACAAACACAGGAGCUGAGCUUGGUGCAACGAAGCAAGUGAGUGUCUUGUGACAACUGUGGAACUGCUCCCAGGACAAUCAGCUGAAGUGAGAUGAGAAAUUCAAGUCCAAAAUGGCAAACAACUUGGCCAAAUCACGUGGGGUUGGAAGAGGAACUGGGGUUAGUAGCCAAGACUCAGGUCUCUGCUGCCCUGCUUCAGAGUAGGCACAGGGUCAGGGAGGACUUGCUGGUGCCUGGCAGAGAAAUAGAGAAGGUUGAUGGCAUCAGUCUUCUCCAGGAACAGCUGAGGGAGAUCAAGAGCAACAGCCCAGGUGACCCUGAAAAGCUGCACCUUAAGAAGGUGACUGAUUGGGCCGUGGAUGUUCGUGUGCAGCAAAGACAGAAGUGAGGCUGGCCCAUUUCACAUUGUUCCCCCUUCAACCACAGCCAGGAUUCUCAUGUGUGCCUCUAGUCUUCAGGAAAGAACCAGACUGUUCCACGCCCUGUCAGUGUGUGUGUGUGUGUGUGUGUGUGUGUGUGUGUGUGUGUGUGUGUGCACGCACGUGCAUACAGGAUUCCCCACACGUGCUGAGAACAUCUAGAUCUCAAUGAUCAUCAGAGCUAGUGAGUCAGAGUCUUGGAGGAGGUGUGCCCCAAGGCAGAAGCUCUCCAGGGAUGCAGUUUUCAUCCACCAAGAACCACUUCCCUCCAGCUUGGAUAUGAGACAACAGCAUGCAUCUGGAAUGCCCAAGUGCUUGUAAAAGAUUAUUACUAAGUAAGAGUGGAUGAUGAUAAUUAAUUACCCUCCAUUAAAGAGAAAGUCCCUGGAGCAGAUGCAUCAAAGGCAAUAUUCCGCUGAGUCGGCAAUUUCUUUGACUAUGCAAUAGGAUGACUCCUUGGCCUUCAUCAUGUGCCUGGUUUGUCCUCUCCAAUUCUGACUUGAACAAUGCCUCUUGACUUUGGACAACUUUUAGUUCCCAUCUUUUCCCUAGCCACAAUCCAGUAAUCAUUAUUAUUAAAAACUUACUCCAAGGUCACAAA